UACGAAGGGUGCAAGCGUUGUUCGGAAUAACUGGGCGUAAAGGGCGCGUAGGUGGUUAGAUAAGUCUGAUGUGAAAUCCCCGGACUCAAUUCGGGAAGUGCAUUGGAUACUGUUUGACUAGAGUAUGGGAGAGGUAAGCGGAAUUCCAGGUGUAGAGGUGAAAUUCGUAGAUAUCUGGAGGAACAACAGAGGCGAAGGCGGCUUACUGGACCAUUACUGACACUGAGAUGCGAAAGCGUGGGGAGCAAACAGG
rnacentral:rRNA from 1 species